rnacentral:rRNA from 1 species
GGGUGUUAAACGUCGGGAUUUAAUCUCGGUGUUGUAGUUAACACAUUAAACACCCUGCCUGGGUAGUACAUUCGCAAGAAUGAAACUCAAACGGGAAUUGACGGGGACCCGCACAAGUGGUGGAGCAUGUUGUUUAAUUCGACGAUACACGUAGAACCUUACCUAGACUUGACAUCCUUGGCGAAGUUAUAGAAAUAUAAUGGAGGUUAACCGAGAGACAGGUGGUGCAUGGUUGUCGUCAGCUCGUGUCGUGAGAUGUUGGGUUAAGUCCCGCAACGAGCGCAACCCUUAUCGUUAGUUAUUUUGUCUAACGAGACUGCCAACGCAAGUUGGAGGAAGGUGGGGAUGACGUCAAAUCAUCAUGCCCCUUAUGUCUAGGGCCACAAACGUGCUACAAUGGUCGGUACAAACAGUCGCUAAUUCGUAAGAUAGAGCUAAUCUGUAAAGCCGAUCUC